AGAGGAUAAUAAAAAA
rnacentral:sRNA from 1 species